rnacentral:tRNA from 1 species
GGCGGCUCAGACGGUAAAAGAAUCUGUCUGAAAUGCAGAAGACCCAGGUUCGAUCCCUGGGUCA